GCGGCAGUAGCAGCAGCGCCGAGUCCCGUGUGGAGGUGCUCUUAGCGGUGUUGUUUCUCGAGCAGCGGCAGUUCUCACUACAGCGCCAGGACGAGUCCGGUUCGUGUUCGUCCGCGGAGAUCUCUCUCAUCUCGCUCGGCUGCGGGAAAUCGGGCUGAAGCGACUGAGUCCGCGAUGGAGAAAACUUUAGAAACUGUUCCUUUGGAGAGGAAAAAGAGAGAAAAGGAACAGUUCCGUAAACUCUUUAUUGGUGGCUUGAGCUUUGAAACCACAGAAGAAAGUUUGAGGAAUUACUACGAGCAAUGGGGGAAACUUACAGACUGUGUGGUUAUGAGGGAUCCUGCAAGCAAAAGAUCAAGAGGAUUUGGCUUUGUAACUUUUUCAUCCAUGGCUGAGGUUGAUGCUGCCAUGGCUGCAAGACCUCAUUCAAUUGAUGGGAGAGUGGUUGAGCCAAAACGUGCUGUUGCAAGAGAGGAAUCUGGAAAACCGGGGGCUCAUGUAACUGUGAAGAAGCUGUUUGUUGGUGGGAUUAAAGAAGAUACUGAGGAACAUCAUCUUAGAGAUUAUUUUGAGGAAUAUGGAAAGAUUGAUACCAUUGAGAUAAUUACUGAUAGACAGUCUGGAAAGAAAAGAGGCUUUGGAUUUGUUACUUUUGAUGAUCAUGAUCCUGUGGAUAAGAUCGUGUUGCAGAAAUAUCAUACCAUCAAUGGUCAUAAUGCAGAAGUAAGAAAGGCUCUGUCUAGACAAGAAAUGCAGGAAGUCCAAAGUUCUAGAAGUGGAAGAGGAGGUAACUUUGGUUUUGGAGAUUCUCGUGGUGGUGGUGGAAAUUUUGGACCAGGACCAGGAAGUAACUUUAGAGGAGGAUCUGAUGGAUAUGGAAGUGGUCGUGGAUUUGGGGAUGGCUAUAAUGGGUAUGGAGGAGGACCUGGAGGUGGCAAUUUUGGAGGUAGCCCUGGUUAUGGAGGAGGAAGAGGAGGAUAUGGUGGUGGAGGACCUGGAUAUGGCAACCAGGGUGGGGGCUACGGAGGUGGUUAUGACAACUAUGGAGGAGGAAAUUAUGGAAGUGGAAAUUACAAUGAUUUUGGAAAUUAUAACCAGCAACCCUCUAACUAUGGUCCAAUGAAGAGUGGAAACUUUGGUGGUAGCAGGAACAUGGGGGGACCAUAUGGUGGAGGAAACUAUGGUCCUGGAGGCAGUGGAGGAAGUGGGGGUUAUGGAGGGAGAAGCCGAUACUGAGCUUCUUCCUAUUUGCCAUGGCAUUGAUAUGAACCAUGGACAAGUAUAUUCUGCUGCCACAAAGACUGUAAAGUGCUUCAUUUCAACAGCUGAGGCGCAAGCCAAGUGAUCAUUAAUAAAGCUUUUCUUGGUUCCUUCAGUGGUGUUGGUAGUAAAAUGGAAGGUGUCUUGCUGCAGGUAACUAAUGAAGAAGUGGUCAACCACAGAGUCUUCAAGAAAUAAGAAAUUCUGUACCAUCUGAAAGUAGUUCUUGUUGGUGCCUUCAUUUAAAAAAAAAAAGCACUUUAAGUUUAAGGGGAAAUGUUUUCUGAAAAAUACAAACUUCAUUUAGUACAGGUUCUUAAUAUAAAACAGUUACAAAAUGAGUGUUGUUUGUAAAAGAGUAACAUCAGAUAAGCUAGAGAGAGAAAUGUAUCAUGUUUUAAACUAGGUUUUGUGAGUAGACAGAUAAAAAUUCUAUUUUAAAUAUAAAGUUUAUAAAAUAAACACUUUUGUAUUAAAAUACUUGGUGUAAUGUUUACACAUAAAAUGUGUGAAUCUUGUUCUAUAAACAUUCAGUUGUCUAAAAGAUUGCCAUCCCCUAGAAUUUUCAAAGCAGUUUGAAAAAACUAUGCAUAUUGCCAUUUUUCUUUCAGUAUUGAUAGUCCAAUAAGAAAAGGAUUUGUGGACAUUAUUGGCUGUCCCUAAUAAAAUGCCAUUCUUUAUAUACUGUA